rnacentral:lncRNA from 1 species
AUGGAAACAUUUGUCCCAUCUCAUCAGAUCCAGGAUCAACACCCCAUCUCAUCAGAUCCAGGUGAAGAGCUCCUGCACAGGGAUAUACAUGCAAGAAGAUCUGCUCUUUAUCCAUAUCUUUUCUGGCUCAUUAUAUUUUAUAAAACCCUGAGAGAGUCAGCUCCCAGGAAAUCCAGCCCAUGACAAGAGUGAGUGGUUGCAUCUCGUUUACCUUAAGCCAAGCCAGUGGUACUCCAGAGGACCCCUGGAGAGCUUGCUAUAUGUCUGCUGGAUUUGGGAAACACAAUGGACUCUGGUCCCCUAUGCCACAGAAAGCU